rnacentral:lncRNA from 1 species
CCAGGUCCAGGAGAGGCUGGCAUGGCCUGUGGGGCCAGUUGUGGAGUUUCCCGGUCAGUGUUUCCUUGCCUUCCACAGAGCCUCAGGCUAGCAUCUCUCUGGUGGCCAUGCCCCUGACAGUUAUGAUGGGGACUGUGGUGGGCUGCAUCAUCAUUGUGUGUGCAGUGCUAUGCUUGUUGUGCCGGCGGCGCCUGAAGGGACCAAGGUGAGGAGGAGGCAGGUGGGACUGGGAAGCCUUGUGUGAUGCGGGGAGACCCUCACUUGCCUCCUGUUCUCUUCUCCACUGUCACAGGUCAGAGAAGAAUGGCUUUUCCCAGGAGUUGAUGCCUUACAACCUGUGGCCGACCCAUCGGCCCAUCCCCAGCCAUAGCUUCCGGCAGAGCUAUGAGGCCAAGAGUGCACGUGCACACCAGGCCUUCUUCCAGGAAUUUGAGGUAAGUCCUGUGUCAUCCUGUGUCCCGAAGAGGGAGGACCGGGACAUCUGGGCUGGGCUGGACCUGCCUUGCAGCCUAACUUCCUCCACUCAUCCUACCUGCUGUGGGGUGAGAUGGGUUUGUCUCUGCAAUGGGGCCUUGACUUCAUAGGAGCUGAAGGAGGUGGGCAAGGACCAGCCCAGACUAGAGGCUGAGCAUCCUGCCAACAUCACCAAGAACCGGUACCCACACGUGCUACCUUAUGACCACUCCAGGGUCAGGCUGACCCAGCUAUCAGGAGAGCCUCAUUCUGACUACAUCAAUGCCAACUUCAUCCCAGUAAGGGCUGUCUGCAG